rnacentral:rRNA from 1 species
ACACUCCUGCGGGAGGCAGCGGUGGGGAAUUUUGGACAAUGGGCGAAAGCCUGAUCCAGCAAUGCCGCGUGUGUGAAGAAGGCCUUCGGGUUGUAAAGCACUUUUGUCCGGAAAGAAAUCCUUGGCUCUAAUACAGUCGGGGGAUGACGGUACCGGAAGAAUAAGCACCGGCUAACUACGUGCCAGCAGCCGCGGUAAUACGUAGGGUGCGAGCGUUAAUCGGAAUUACUGGGCGUAAAGCGUGCGCAGGCGGUUUGCUAAGACCGAUGUGAAAUCCCCGGGCUCAACCUGGGAACUGCAUUGGUGACUGGCAGGCUAGAGUAUGGCAGAGGGGGGUAGAAUUCCACGUGUAGCAGUGAAAUGCGUAGAGAUGUGGAGGAAUACCGAUGGCGAAGGCAGCCCCCUGGGCCAAUACUGACGCUCAUGCACGAAAGCGUGGGGAGCAAACAGGAUUAGAAACCCCGGUAGUCCCAU